CGCGAGGCCGGCGUGAGGGAGCCGGGAAUGGCGGGGCGGGAAGGGACCCUGGGGAUCGCCUCUUCCAGCCUCCCGCCACCGUCAGCCACACCUUCCGCUAGACCAGGCUGCUCCGAGCCCCAUCCAACCCGGCGUCGAGCAUUUCCAGGGAUCCACGUGCACAGGUUCUCUGGGCAGCCUCAUGGGCUGGUCGUUCCCGGCGAGCAGCAGGAGGACGUCGUCAGUGACGCCAGAUUUACUGCUCUCGGCUGGUUUUUUAACAGUGAAAAAGCUCCUUUUAAUGAGUUUGGGUCGCCUGGUGAAAGAAGAGCAGUGAAAGGGCCUUGUGGAAGUCAUCCAAUGGGAUUUCCCUGUGCUCCCCAGAAGGAACACAAUAGGAGAGCCACAUCCUACAAAACACCUCUGCUCGUUUUUCCUUAUUUUUUCCUGAUUUUCCUUCCCAAAUUUUCCCCAUUUGGUUUCUUUAUUUUUGGAGGUUUUUUUGUUUGGUUGUUUUUUUUUUUUUCCUGAUUUUUCCUGAUUUCUCCUGAUCCCGAGCCAGUUGGCGCCGGAGGGAGACAGCACUGCUGAAACACACCCCACUACAUCCUCACUGGCUCAGUUCAGUGCUUUACUCUGGUUGUUGAACGUGGGUAAUCUCUGGUGGGCACAGUUCUUCCUGCCCGAGUUGUCACGGAAGGUAAAAAUACAGGGAUGUCACAGAUCAGUCUGGGGAAAAGCACCCACUGCUUGGGGUGCGUGGGGCACAGUACUGUCCCCCUCCACGCCGACCCUGGGGCGUGUUAAGCUUCACAGCUGGCACACAUGAGGGAGGGGGAAUUUUGGGAAGCCCUCACAAGAGGAGGUGGAAAGCUCCACAAAAGAAAAAUACAAAAAUUUGCGAGUAUCUGCUGUGUGGGGGUUUUUUUGGAGGUGCCAGGUGGGCUGGAACGAUGUCCCCUGUGAGGAGAUGGUGUGGAGCUUCGGGUGGGAGCUCUGCUUCCAGGUCAGGGAUGCCUCCACACCCUGUCCCAGAGCAACCAUGGCCAUAUAUUCCUGCUGGGACGAGGACUGGGCAUUUCCCCCACAGUGGAAGAAGAGAACAUUUCCAUCAGGAGAUUUUGGCUGCAGGGGGACCACAGGUGUCUGCAGCAAGGUGUGGCUGUCAGACAAGCUGUCAGGGCUGCUUUGUGCUCACUUAGAGUGAAAAUAAAAAGCAUCCGGCAAAAAAGAUCCAAAUCCAGCAGGUUUGGGGUUGCCCUUACACUCCAUAUAUAUAUAUAUAUAUAUAUAUAUAUAUAUAUACACACACUCUCAUAUGUAUAUAUGUAUAUUUGUAUAUGUGUGUUUACACAUACAGACAAUGAUAUAUAUUUAACACAUGGACUUGGGGGAUUUGGAGGUCCGUGACUUCUUC
rnacentral:lncRNA from 1 species